AUCGAUUAGGGAUUUACUCAUGCUAUUAUAAAGUUAGACAAGUCGGGCAUGAUAAUAAUAUCCACCAAAAAAGAAGUAUAGCUAUAAAUUCCAAACUGAAUUUGUUUUCCUCCCAAUUCAACCUCGAACCCGCCCCUAAUUGUGUUCAUAAGAUUGCUUUUUUCUACCCUCCACCUUUCUACCCUUAUUUCCAUUCGAUGCGAUCCCUUAAAGGCUGGCUCCAAU
rnacentral:lncRNA from 1 species